AGCCACGCGCGAACCUUUUCUCUUGAGCUUCGCUGAGAAGUUCCGAAAACCCGAUAAAACUACAUAAAAAUGGCCUUGUCCGCUCUUCUUUACAUCAAUACCACUUCCUUCGCUCAUCUUCACUUCCUCAAAUCCUCAAUCCCUCUCGUCAAAACCCUACCUACUCCUGCUCCUACCCCUCGUCCUAGAUUUCCCAAUAUGUUGCCUUCACCCCGCAGACCCCAAGCAUUCUCAAUGCAGGGAGCUCUAUCGGAGGCCAUGAACUUGAUCCAGUCUUCGCCCUCCACUUGGCGAUCUUCUCUUCUCAGCAACUUGUUGAUAUUCAUUGUUGGGUCUCCUAUUCUGGUAUCUGGGCUUUCUCUAUCUGGUAUUUGCGCUGCGUUUCUUUUGGGUACCCUCACUUGGCGCGCUUUUGGGCCCUCUGGGUUCCUUCUCGUUGCUUCUUACUUU
rnacentral:misc_RNA from 1 species